ACUUUCUUAGUAUUAUUCAGUACAUUUGACUUCCAAUCAUAUAGAUCUGGCCCCACCCAGAAGAAAGUA
rnacentral:tRNA from 1 species